UACGAAGGGGGCUAGCGUUGCCCGGAAUCACUGGGCGUAAAGCGCACGUAGGCGGAUCUUUAAGUCAGGGGUGAAUCCUGGAGCUCAACUCCAGAACUGCCUUUGAUACUGGGGAUCUCGAGUCCGGGAGAGGUGAGUGGAACUGCGAGUGUAGAGGUGAAAUUCGUAGAUAUUAGGAAGAACACCAGUGGCGAAGGCGGCUCACUGGCUCGGUACUGACGCUGAGGCGCGAAAGCGUGGGGAGCAAACAGG
rnacentral:rRNA from 1 species